rnacentral:misc_RNA from 1 species
GAAAUGCGAUAAGUAAUGUGAAUUGCAGAAUUCAGUGAAUCAUCGAAUCUUUGAACGCACAUUGCGCCCCCUGGUAUUCCGGGGGGCAUGCCUGUUCGAGCGUCAUUUCACCACUCAAGCCUCGCUUGGUAUUGGGCAACGCGGUCCGCCGCGUGCCUCAAAUCGACCGGCUGGGUCUUCUGUCCCCUAAGCGUUGUGGAAACUAUUCGCUAAAGGGUGUUCGGGAGGCUACGCCGUAAAACAACCCCAUUUCUAAGGUUGACCUCGGAUCAGGUAGGGAUACCCGCUGAACUUAAG